rnacentral:rRNA from 1 species
AGAGUUUGAUCCUGGCUCAGAUUGAACGCUGGCGGCAUGCUUUACACAUGCAAGUCGGACGGCAGCACAGAGAAGCUUGCUUCUUGGGUGGCGAGUGGCGAACGGGUGAGUAACAUAUCGGAACGUACCGAGUAAUGGGGGAUAACUAAUCGAAAGAUUAGCUAAUACCGCAUAUUCUCUGAGGAGGAAAGCAGGGGACCUUCGGGCCUUGCGUUAUUCGAGCGGCCGAUAUCUGAUUAGCUAGUUGGUGGGGUAAAGGCCUACCAAGGCGACGAUCAGUAGCGGGUCUGAGAGGAUGAUCCGCCACACUGGGACUGAGACACGGCCCAGACUCCUACGGGAGGCAGCAGUGGGGAAUUUUGGACAAUGGGCGCAAGCCUGAUCCAGCCAUGCCGCGUGUCUGAAGAAGGCCUUCGGGUUGUAAAGGACUUUUGUCAGGGAAGAAAAGGCUGUCGCUAAUACCGACAGUUGAUGACGGUACCUGAAGAAUAAGCACCGGCUAACUACGUGCCAGCAGCCGCGGUAAUACGUAGGGUGCGAGCGUUAAUCGGAAUUACUGGGCGUAAAGCGAGCGCAGACGGUUACUUAAGCAGGAUGUGAAAUCCCCGGGCUUAACCUGGGAACUGCGUUCUGAACUGGGUGACUAGAGUGUGUCAGAGGGAGGUAGAAUUCCACGUGUAGCAGUGAAAUGCGUAGAGAUGUGGAGGAAUACCGAUGGCGAAGGCAGCCUCCUGGGAUGACACUGACGUUCAUGCUCGAAAGCGUGGGUAGCAAACAGGAUUAGAUACCCUGGUAGUCCACGCCCUAAA